rnacentral:rRNA from 1 species
AUGGGAAGACAAAAGAUACACCUGAGGCAUGGGAGGACUAGCAACGUAUGCACGGAAAAGACGGCAUACAUCAGGGUCAUGGACUGGAACGCUCUUACCAAAGAAGAGAAGGAAAUCUUCUUUGAAUGCCUGCUCAGUAUUAAGGUACCAUCUGGCUUCUCGUCGAAUAUAAAGGAAAUAAUAAACAUGGCACAUAAAAAGUUCCAGAACCUAAAGUCUCAUGAUUGCCACAUGAUUAUGACGCAACUGCUUCCGGUUGCAUUGAGGGGGCUUCUACCGGAAAACGUUCGAUUAGCCAUUGUGAAGCUAUGUGCAUUUCUCAAUGCAAUCUCUCAGAAGGUAAUCGAUCCAGAAAUCAUACCAAGGUUAGAGAAUGAUUUGGUACAAUGUCUUGUCAGUUUCGAGUUGGUGUUCCCACCAUCCUUCUUCAACAUCAUGACACACGUCCUAGUUCACCUAUGUGAAGAGAUUAAUGUUUUGUGUCCUGUAUUUCUACACAAUAUGUUCCCCUUUAAGAGGUUCAUGGGAGUCUUAAAGAAAUAUAUUCAUAACCGUGCUAGGCCAGAAGGAAGCAUCUCCAAGGGCCAUGAAAAUGAGGAGGUCAUUGAGUUUUGUAUUGACUUUAUUCCUGACCUUAAGCCGAUUGGUGUUCCUGAAUCGCGGCAUAAGGGCAGACUGGAUGGAAAAGGCACGCUAGGAGGGGAACAAAUAAUAUGUAUAGACGGACAUUCUCUCACUGAAGCACACUACACAGUUCUACAGAAUUCCGCCUUGGUGGCUCCGUAUAUGGAUGAACACAAGAAUUCGCUACGCUCCAAACACCCGGAGCGGUCUGAUAACUAG